GCUGGGCCUGAUGGUGCAUGCCUGUAAUUCCAACUUCUUGGUAGGCUGAGGCAGGAGAAUCACAAUUUCAAGGACAGCCUGAGCAACUUAGUCAGAUCCUGUCUCAA
rnacentral:sRNA from 1 species